UACAGAGGUCUCAAGCGUUGUUCGGAUUUAUUGGGCGUAAAGGGUGCGUAGGUGGUGCGGUAAGUUAAGUGUGAAAUAGUAAGGCUCAACCUUGCGACUGCACUUAAUACUGCUGCGCUAGAGUUUUGUAUAGGAGAUUGGAAUUUACGGUGUAGCAGUGAAAUGCGUAGAUAUCGUAAGGAACACCAGUAGCGAAAGCGAAUCUCUGGGCAAUAUCUGACACUGAGGCACGAAGGCUGGGGGAGCAAACGGG
rnacentral:rRNA from 1 species